rnacentral:ncRNA from 2 species
UAAAUAUAUCUGGGGUGCCAUUUGGCUGAGAUCAUACUCAUCGAACCUGAUCUAAUUAGUAUUAGUGUAGGGAGAUAUUGAAUAAAAAUA